rnacentral:rRNA from 1 species
GACGAACGCUGGCGGCGUGCUUAACACAUGCAAGUCGAACGGAAAGGCCCUGCUUUUGUGGGGUGCUCGAGUGGCGAACGGGUGAGUAACACGUGAGUAACCUGCCCUUGACUUUGGGAUAACUUCAGGAAACUGGGGCUAAUACCGGAUAGGAGCUCCUGCUGCAUGGUGGGGGUUGGAAAGUUUCGGCGGUUGGGGAUGGACUCGCGGCUUAUCAGCUUGUUGGUGGGGUAGUGGCUUACCAAGGCUUUGACGGGUAGCCGGCCUGAGAGGGUGACCAGCCACAUUGGGACUGAGAUACGGCCCAGACUCCUACGGGAGGCAGCAGUGGGGAAUAUUGCACAAUGGGCGGAAGCCUGAUGCAGCAACGCCGCGUGCGGGAUGACGGCCUUCGGGUUGUAAACCGCUUUCGCCUGUGACGAAGCGUGAGUGACGGUAAUGGGUAAAGAAGCACCAGCUAACUACGUG